rnacentral:lncRNA from 1 species
UAUAUAUAUAGAGAGAGAGAGAGAGAGAGAGAGAGAAACCCUAUACACAUGGUUUAGAAGAAGCAACAAAUUUUCAAAUUUAACCAAUAAAAACAACCCAAUAAAAAUUAUUCAACAAUCAAAUCCAUGCUCUGUUAACUAAGCACCUGUUUGAGCCCCAUUAAUUUACAUUACAUUACAUUCCAUUUCAUUUUUCUCUCUCUUAUUUUCAACCACACAAUCUUCUAUAAAAUAAUAUUACACAUAAAUCGAAAAAAUUUUCUUCAUUUUCAACCAUUCAUUUUUCAAAAAAAAUACUAUUUCACCCAUUAAUUUUUCAUGUAAUGGGAGCCAAACGGGGGCUAAAUUUGACAAUACGAAAAGUUACAUUGAUUUUGCUAAAUGUAAGUUUGUCGUUGGUUUUAAAAUGACGAAUACAGAUUUUGAGCUCAAUCUUCGCCGAAGACGUCGUUUCCUUUCAAACUUUCUACAAUCGUUGACUUUAGCAGAAGAAGGAGAAGAGAUGUUUUAAAAAAAAAAAAAGAACUACACAAUUGAGUAAAGAAAAUUCAAUUCCUCAUAUUCGGAGAACAAAAAUCAAGUAUCA